rnacentral:rRNA from 1 species
UCGAACGUGAUCCAGGCUUCGGCCUGGUGAAAGUGGCAAACGGGUGAGUAACGCGUGGGAACCUGCCCAGAGGUAGGGAAUAACCGCGGGAAACUGCGGCUAAUACCCUAUGUGUCCUACGGGACAAAGAUUUAUCGCCUUUGGAGGGGCCCGCGUCGGAUUAGGUAGUUGGUGGGGUAACGGCCUACCAAGCCAUCGAUCCGUAGCUGGUCUGAGAGGAUGAUCAGCCACACUGGGACUGAGAUACGGCCCAGACUCCUACGGGAGGCAGCAGUGGGGAAUAUUGGACAAUGGGGGCAACCCUGAUCCAGCAAUGCCGCGUGAGUGAUGAAGGCCUUCGGGUUGUAAAGCUCUUUCGGCGGGGAAGAUGAUGACGGUACCCUCAGAAGAAGCCCCGGCUAACUUCGUGCCAGCAGCCGCGGUAAUACGAAGGGGGCUAGCGUUGUUCGGAAUUACUGGGCGUAAAGGGCGCGUAGGCUGUGCUGUAAGUCAGGCGUGAAAUCCCCGGGCUCAACCUGGGAAUUGCGCAUGAUACUGCGGCGCUGGAAUGCAGGAGAGGAUGGCGGAAUUCCCAGUGUAGAGGUGAAAUUCGUAGAUAUUGGGAAGAACACCGGUGGCGAAGGCGGCCAUCUGGCCUGCAAUUGACGCUGAGGCGCGAAAGCGUGGGGAGCAAACAGGAUUAGAUACCCUGGUAGUCCACGCCGUAAACGAUGAGUGCUAGACGUCGGGGGGCUUGCCCUUCGGUGUCGCCGCUAACGCAUUAAGCACUCCGCCUG